CAGGAUGUUACAGAUGUGCCAGUACUUCAAUGCGCAGUAUCCAAUAAAAAGCGCCAGGCGGUCGCGUACAGAUGCGCAAUUUAGAUGUACAGAUGGUGAGGACAGAGCGUGGAGGGAUGGAGGAGAGAGGAGAGGAGAGAGGGACACAGAGAGAGGUGAAUGUGAGCAUGUCUGGUGGUGAGAAGGUUGGAGAGAAUCUGCUUAGACCUCCACACACACAAAGCACAACCUCUGCUGCAACAACUGUCACAUGUUGCCAUGGCACUGAAUCUGAUGCGCUAUGACAACUGCUUCUCUUGGAACAUGGUUGAUGACUGCCUGCUCUCCCUCGUUCACGGCAAACAGGUGUGUCAGUUCAGGGGGGUUCCUGAAGACCUGGCUGCCCUUCUUCCUCCUAUUUGGAGUCAUCCUCACAAUCACCCCGGUGACCUGCGGUGACCCUGCCGGGGGGGGGGGGGCGGGGCUUGGGGCAGGAGAGAGAAGGUGCUGGGCUGUCGAGGCGGCGAACUGAAAAAGCAUCCAGUCACCCAGGAAGCAGGGAGCUGAAGGCUGUGAAGGGACCUUUGGGGUUUCCUCCCCCCCCUGGAGAGGCGCGGGGAACCCAGCUUUUGGAUUGACGGGGGCUGACUAUGAGGCAGGCAGCUUUUCCCAUCAGGAACCCACGAAGCAGUGCUGGAGGACGGAGACCUGCUGACUGUUUUGGCGACUUUUUGAAAUGGUGGGAGAAGAAUGGCCCUGUUGCUUCUCCUCUGAAUUUUACAAUCCCCCCCAACCCCAUUCACCCCACAGGAGAGAAUACUGACAUCACAGUCCAUUGUUAACCCCCUGACCUCUUUUGCACUUUUUGAGCAGGAGGAAACAGGUAGUUAAAAUAUCAGAUCACGUCUGGUUAUAGUUCACUUCGAAAUGAAGCCAUGUAAGAUAACUGUUUAUUCCCCCCCGCCCUACUGUUGGAGCUUCUUUUUUUGACAGGGACAAAUGUUUGCUUUGCACAUGCGUCCAGCCUAACAGUAAACACAGAACAGAAACAAAAUCAUCCAUACGUAAAGCCUUACUAUCUUUAAAGUGUGAAUCGUAAAUACUUGCUGCUAUUGCGUUUACAUCUGAUGUAUAUAUUUUUUACUUUGGAAAGUGGUUCUGUUGGUUGUUGAAUUUAUAAACAUUUUUUUCAAUGAGUAGUGGCGUUAGGUGAAACUGAGAACUAUAGGUGCUGCUGAUGAUUAUUCUUGCUCUUUUUGUAAUUCAGACGAUUGUGUGUUUGUUAUGACAAGUGCACAAAUGUUCCUGACCCCAGAGUACCCCCCAGACGUGAGUGGGAUUGGGGCUUGUUUGGGUUCCCCGGUUGCUCGGUGUCCAGAUGUGCAAACGGGCCCCCCCUUAAAGGCACAGCAGGGGUGUGCACAGCUGGGACGGACCCCCAGAAGAUCCCGCUCAAAAUCCAGGGGAUUUGCGGGUACCCUUUGAUUUCACUGCAAGAGGAACAGAUGCAGGAGUUUUCACGCAAUGAGAGAAAUAUGGCUGGGCUUUUAUUUCCAGUAAGCUUAUUUCCAAAUGAGCAUAUCAGGCAAUUCUGCUGCGUUUGGAUAAUAUCUUUACAUUACAUUUUAUUUUGACAGAUGCUUUUAUCCAAAGCAAUGUACGAUAAGUGAAUACCGAAGGUCUCUUCCAGUAAUAAUCAGUAAUAAAUGACAGAUUAUUAGAUGUUUGUUUGGCAGGAGAGAGUGAUACAAAGGAAGAAUUUGGUAGAAUUUGAGUAAAUGUCGUAGACCAGAGACAGCUGAAGCUAAUACCAGAAUUGUGCAAUAAAUAAAAAGGUCUAAUGUCAGUGCUUUGACUUCUAGGGUCCAUAAAGCUUGUUCGCUCCACUGCACUGACUAAUGUUGCUGCUUCUUGUGAGUUACUGUAUUUUAUUUAUUUAUUUUUUUACUCAACUGUAUAUUCUUGAUUCUGGAGCAUGAGCCAUUGUUCAAUGUCAUACAUUAAUAUUAGGAAACACAAUUUACCACAAUUUAAUCAUAAAUUUAAAGAAGCCUUUUCUGAAUCUGCUGCAGUCAGAUUUUUUUUUUUUUUUUUCCUAACACAUUUUAUGUGGUGUUUUGUAAUUGCUGAACAGUGGUCAUGAAAAUCAAUCUUGGCUCAAAUUAGCAUAUUAAAUUUGACAUAGUCUCAGCUUAAACAGCAGGACCCUCUGGAGUGGCUCUGUUGGUGCAGACUGGACCCUGGGGCUGCAGGUUUGAGGCUAGUAGAGCCUAGCCUUUUAUCAUCAGCCAUAGAGGGACACAACUGGGUGCAUACCAUGCUGGUGAUAAACUGCACUGAUAUACUGAACUAUACCAUUUGGUCUUCUGUUGUUCCUGUUAGCUUUCACCAAAGCUGUAUCCUGGUUAACCCAUUCUAUUUGCUGUGACAGAUCCCUUGUAGCAUUUCUACCACAUUCCAUUCUACUGCUACUUUACACCAGUCUGGCCAGUGGAGGAUGGGCUCCCCCUCUAUAGCCGGGUUCCUCUCGAGAUUUCUUCCCAUUGGGGAGUUUUUCUCGCCACCGUUUGAGGGAGUUUUAACCUCAUGUACUUGCUAUUUGGGGGUUCAGGCCUGGUGUUUGCUCUGUUUGCUCUUUUUGCUGUGUUUCUAGCCUUGCUACUUUGUGAAGCGUCUUUGUGACAGUUCUCGGUAAAAAGCACUAUACAAAUAAAAUGUAAUUGAAUUAUAAGUCAGCCAGUGUUCCUUUUGUUGCCAUGACAUUGGUUACUUCCAGUGACAUCAUAAGCCACAAGCUAACGGUUGUUGUCAGAUAGACUAAUGUUGAGGGGGGUAAAUAGCCACAGGGCAGCAGGCCGAUUAACUGAAGGGAGUGCACGCGCUUUGGUUACACUGCUCCUGAUCUACAGAUGUGUUAAGAAGCACAAUUUGUUAUUACAGUUUGGUGGGAAAUGUGCAUUAUAAAAAAAGGUUUGGAUGUAACGGCCGUGCCCCACACGUGACUCAACCCUACAGGCUAUACGUCCUGGGCCCCAGCGUUUUAACUGCCAUCGUGCCGCGCGCAGACACAACUUGUGACCUGUCUCCACUGAGGCUCGCGUGCGUGCUCACGUCAGGGUGACCAUGCGCACAUACAUGUACAUCCGUGUGCGGGUAGAUGUGUGCAUCCGCGCGUGAACGUGUUCUCUGAGAAUGGGGUAAACCGUGCAAGUGGACGCGGGUGAGUAGGUGAGCAUGUAGCUGAGACCUGUUUUGGAUCGCGUGAAUAACGGUAGCCCAUUCUACUAAACUGUCUGAACAUGCUUUCUUUGUAUGUCAUUCAUAUCGUCCAUUUGCUUAAAAUGCUGUAACUGCAGGAAUUAAAUUUGCUAGCAUUACUACCUUUUUGUGCUUCUAAAUUUAGGAGCCCGGGGAGACAGGCAGCUGCAGGCAUUAGCAGGACCCAGUCAUGUCCAGCAGCAAAAAAAACCUUUAUUAUUAUUUUUGAAUACGUCUUUAGUAAGGGGUGUGGGAACGGGCUGGUUAAUUCAGUGAAUUUUUUGCAUCUACUGAUUCUCCUCUAAGAAAGUCCUAUGAAAUUAAAUCGGUUAUAGACGUACCAUGAACCCGAUUGGUUGGUGCCAUCGGCGUCUUCAAACGGUGGUGUUUGAAUUGCUACUG